rnacentral:siRNA from 1 species
UCGCUGGUUCGAUUCCGGCA